CCGUGUGCGGCUGAUGACAGCACUGCUGCUGAGAGUUUGUGAUUGCUCAGGCUCAAAGUAAACGCUCUGACGCACCAUGU